GCCCGGAUGGCGAAAUCGGUAUACGCAGAGCACUUAAAAUGCUUCGCCCUUUGGGCUUGCGGGUUCGAGUCCCGCUCCGGGCACCA
rnacentral:tRNA from 8 species